rnacentral:tRNA from 1 species
GACCCGGUGGUGUAGUGAUUAGCACACCUGUCUAGUAAACGGGAGAUGUCAGCUUUAAUUCCUUACCGGGACA